rnacentral:lncRNA from 1 species
ACCAAAAUAAAAUUCGUAUAUAUAAUUAAAUAUUAGAUAACAGUUGAUAUAUAAUUUUUUAGAAUUAUCCCAAAAUAAUAACAUAGAAUAAUGGGGUAUUGAUGAAGGAGCUUUCUUGGGCAAUUUGGAAAGUCCAAGCACUAAUGUCGAUUGGAAAUUAAACUGCUAAGAAAAAAGAAAAGUAAAACACAUGUGCAUGACUUGAAACAUAAUUCGAAUCAUUUGGUUAGAUUACAUUAAAUUGGUGUCCAAAAUUAAAUGAAUAUAACUUAAUUAGAAAGAUAGACAAAUAUAUUUUUUUAAAAAUAAUAAUAGUUUGUGUCAUUAUAACAUUCUUUAUUAAAUUGUGUCUACCAACUCAGCUAAAAUAUAUGACACAUUUACGAUGUGGGUGAAAAUAAAAUUAUGUGACAAAUAUAAAUGACAAACAAGGCUUUGGUUAAAUAGUAAAGAAUAAAUGAUAAAAAUUGGUUUAAGGGUGUAAAAAGUUCUCAAAUUUUUUCAAAAAAAAGCAAUUAAGCCCCUCUUUUUUUUUGCACUUAAUUUAGCACUUGAACUUUCAAAAUACAUCAAAAAGACCCUCAAACUUCUUCAAAAAAAGAAGCAAUUAAGCCCCAGCCUUUUUUUUUCACUCAAUUGGGUACUUGAACUUUCAAAAUGAAUAAAAAAGACUCUCAAAAUUUUUCAAAAAAACAAUUAAGCCCUUGCUCUAGUUAAAAAUUAGAAAAAAAAUUAGAAAUUAGAAAUUAGAAAUAAUAAAUUUUAGAAAAAUGAUUAAAUUUUAAUAAAAAUAUAAAAAUUAAAAUUUAUUAAAAAUUACAAAAAAAAUAUUUUAUAAAAAUCGUAAAAAAUAAAAAAAAUUGUAAAAUUUUAUAAAAUUUAUAAAAAAAAUUAUAACAUGCAAUUAACUUUAAUUGUUGAUCAUUAAAGUUAACAAAACUUAGUUUUUUCAAUUAAAGUCAUCACGUGUCGCAACAUAAGGUGACAUGUGGCAAAAAUGAUAAAAAAAUAAAAAUCAUUAAAUGUUAUAGAAAAAUUAUAAAAUACUUCUUUUGGUAUAAUUUUUAUAAUUUUUUAUGAAAUUUAUAUUUCUUUACAUUUUGUAUAAUUUUCUUAUGACUUUAUAAAAUUUUAUAAUUUUUUUAUAUUUCUAUAUAUUUUAUAAUUUUUUACGAUUUUUAUAAAAUUUUGCAACUUUUUAUUUUUUUACAAUUUUUAUUUUUUUCUAAUUUUAAUAAAUUUUUAAUAUUUGAAUUUUUUAUUAAAUUUUAAUAAUAUUUAUAUCUUUUAUUGAUUUUAAGUUUUUAUAAUUUUUAAUAAAAGCAGGGGCUUAAUUGCUUUUUUUCAAAAAGUUUGAGGGUAUUUUUUAUGCAUUUUGAAAGUUCAAGUAUCCAAAUGAGUGCAAAAAAAAAAACAAAGCAGGGGCUUAAUUACUUUUUUUGAAAAAGUUUGAGAGCUUUUUACACCAUUAAGCUGAUAAAAAUUAUAGAGGUAAAGGUUUAAAUCUUAUUAUAUACAUGCAUUUUUCUAUAUAAAAGAUAUAAAAUGAUAAAAUCACCCUCAAAAUAAUAUAAUUAAUUUUGUAAAGAGUAUUUUCUCAUUAUCCAACCGAGUUAGUGUCCGUUUAACUUGUGUUAUCAAUUUAGUAAAAUACUUAAUAUAUACUGUAGAUAUAUAAUUUCAAUAACAAAAGAAAAUUAUGGAUAUUUAAGUCUUUUAAUUUUAAAAAGGUGAGUUUUCUAAUCCAACUAUGAAAGUUUACAAUUUGAUCACUCAACUAUUCGAGAUUAUAUAUUCUGGUUACCAAGCCGUUAAAUAGCUAACGAAAGGAUAAUAACAAAUUUAGCUCUAAAUAUUUUUUUACAUAUUAUGUCAAUUUAGUCCCAAUUCUAAAAAAAAACUAACCUUCAUUGUUUACACAUGAGUUCUAUUUAAUCAGAUAUAUUAAAAUUAUAAAAUAUUAAGAAGAAUAAAUUAGAUGAAUUUAAUCCUUUUAAAAUGCAACAUCUUAUCUGGAAAUUACACAUUAAUUUUAAAAUACAACCCCAUUUACACAUAUUUUAUUCACAAAGCGAGUCAACUAUUUAAAACCUAAUGAUUUGUAAAUCCAUGUCUUUCUUAAAGCAUAACACGUUUUUAUGUUUAAUUUUAUCUACCAAAACUUUUCAGAUAAAUGAUUAAAACGAGUUGACUUAUUUGGCUGAGUAAUUAUCAGGAAUUUAGUAAUAAUUGAAAUUCGAAUCCGUGUAUUGAUUUGAUGUUCAGGAUGUUUAAUGAUUAAGAUGUGAUCUGGGUUCAAGUUGCAUAAGUCGUGUUGCUGUUAUGGUUUUGUCAUUUUCUUGCAAUUCACUAAAUUAUUAAUAUCGUUAUCAAUACACCAUCAUUUUACGUUUACCUACCAUUAAAGUUUUAUGUGUAUAAUUACACCGAAUAAAAAUUUAUAUAUUAAAUUACAUAAUGGACCAAUAUUCAUAUAGAAGUUAAACGUUUUAAAAGAUGGUUUUCCAUCAAAAUCAAAAGCAAUAGUUUUUUCUCAAAUUUGGGAUGCUUAUGAGAUAUGCACAAAACAUCAUACUAGUUGGAGGUGACUUGAAGGGAUAAAUUUAUUUGUUAUAUUUAUGUAGAAAUUUUAUAAAAUUAAAGAGAGCCUUUCAAGAAAAGUAAGACAUUUUUUUUUUCUUUUUUGCAAGUUCAUGUUUGGUCUGCCAAACAGCUAUUCUUUUCCCAAAGUAAGAAGAAAGUGAAAUUAAAAAAAAAAAAUCCAUUCAAUAUUCCAAAAACUGAAAAGGUUUUGAUCAGUUGAUUAAUUCUAUUACAUCCAAAUUGAAAUGAGGCAUCAAGAAAGUUCAAAAAAAAAAAAGAAAAAAAGGGAGAGUAUGAAAUUAAGUUAAUCUCUUAUAUUUACAGGGAAAGAGAGAAAGAGAUGCAUGAGAAAAUCAUAAAAUUCAGUAAAAUCUACAACUAAACCCCAUACCAAAACCAAAAUCAGGGAAGAUGGAACAUAAAAUUACAAAAUUAAAAGACCCAGAAUCAAUUUUUAUGCCAUUAGUUGAGCUUCUUCAAAUCCAUGCAUGUGAUGAGAAUCAUCCAAAGGAAGCAAAGGGAAUUCACCCAUCUCUUGAAUAAAAUCAUCUAAAUCUCCAAAACCACUUGAGAAACCACCUCCUUCUUCCUUAACCCUUUCUCUUGUUUCAAUCCCUGCAAGAAACCCAGUUCUUAGCUCCAUUGGCUUGUCAUCUUUUCCGCCGAUUCUUGGUUUCCUUUUGCAACCCUUUUGUUGAGGUGGUUUCCCAGUGAGUCUUUGCACCAAUUCUCUGAAGUUUGCUGCGUCAGUCUUGAUGAUCUCUGGUGCAAAUAUGUGAAUGAUCCGUAUCUUUGGCUUUGUUAUUGUUUGCGAAUCUUUAUGAAUGGAUAGGGAUGAUGAUGGUGAUGAGUUUGAAGGAGACAUUCUGGUUUGGUUCCUCAUCAUCCUCAAAUUCUCCAUGGAAAAAAUGAAUGUCUGAGACAAAGGAAAAUCAAAGGGAAAACCAAAGAAGGGAUGGAUGAGUUGGUGUGUAAAGAUCGAUGGGGGUAUCUUAUAUAAGGAGAGAAAGUGAUGGGAAAGAUUUUGUAAUGCAAAAAGACAAGCUGUCUUUGAGAAUUGGGGACAAACGACUCGAUGAACCCUUGUCUCUCCAAAUGGAAGAGAUUCAAUAAAAUAAUAUAGACGACUUAAACCGUCCCUACCAACAUAAAUUCAUUAAUUAAUUACCAAUAAUCUCUUAAAUUUUUGGUUAAGUCUAACAUGACUAGGAUUCAAGUAUUGAGGUUUAAGUUUUACUAUGUAUAAUUUUAUGUGUGAAUUUUGUUUAGUUUUUCAUCUGAUAUAUUUUAUACUGGUUUGAUUCUAUAUUUGCAUUUGUAGCCGGUCGUAUAUAUAUAUAAUAAAUUUAGAGGUGAGACUCGAAUCUAAAAUCUUAAGAGACAUCAAGGUUUUCUUUGGAAAGGCGGUGUGUUUACUUUCAGCGAUGUCAAAAACAGCGGAGACGGUGAGAUUGAUUAUUGUAGGAAUGGGAUUAAAAAAAACAUGAGGUGUAUGUUUGGAUUCAAAUACUAUUGUAGAAGUGAGAUGAGAAUAGAAAAUAACUAUUAACGACAAUAGAUUAGAAAUGAUUUAUAAAAAAAUAUACUAUUAAUGACAUUUGGUUAAAUCUUGUAUAUAAUAAAAAAAGUUAUUUAACAUUUAAAAAAUUAAUAAACAAUUAAAAAUUAUUACAAUCAUAUUUAUAUCUAAUAAUAAUUAAAAAUUAAUUAAAACUUGAGAAAUCAAAAUAUUUAUUAUUUUAUUUAAUAAUUAAAAAUUAUUUAAUUAUAAUUAGUCUGAAACAAGAAAUUAAACCUGUGAAUUGAUACAAUCUAAUUGAAUUAAACUACAAACCGACUAAACCGAUUUUUUCUUCUAUUAAAUAUAUAUCUUUUAUUGAGUUUGAAGUAGUAAUAAUAAAUCCCAAGUAUAUACAUUAAUGUUUCACUUGAGAAAUGAAGAAAAACAAAUCCCAAACCCUGGCUAAAAUCAAUAGGAAAACUAAAAUCAUUCAUUGAAACACAUCUUGAUUAUUGUAUGGGAGAUAGUAUAUGCUUGUUUAUGUAUAACACAAAAUUGAAAAAAAUAAAAUCGAUUUGAUUGGAUCUUAAUUUGAUUGGCAUGGGAAUUGUUGUCAAUGCUGGAGAGCAUUGGUUCGAAUGCGCUGAAUCACAUUAUUCUCUUAUUUAUAAGAUGGAGAAGAGUCAUGAAUAAUUUUUAAACAUUAUAUAAAAAACAUAUAUAACAAAAUUAUUUUUAAAAAAAUUUCAAAAUUGGAAAACUUAGGGUCGCUGAUCUGGUCAUGAACCUUGCACUAAGAACAAAUAUCAUUGUUCCUAAUAAAGUGACCAUAUCACUACUUUACGUACCAACCCGCCCACGUAGUUGGAAUAAAAACCAAUGUCAUGCCUUCCAUAUUCCGCGUUUUACCCAAUAGGGACUUGGCAAUUUUUUUCUUUUUCAAUUUUUCUUAAAACUUAAUAAUUAUUUUUUACAUUGAUCCUAAAUUUGAUAAUAUUUUUUUCUAAAAUUUGAUCCAUGUGAUGACGUAUUGACGUGGUACUUAAAUAUUGUGCCACGUCAUUCAUAAGGAAAAAAAUUGAGAAAAAUUAACAAGUUUAGGGACAAAUGUGAAAAGAACCUUUUCAAGGAUCAAAUUCAGGGGCUAAAUGUUGGCUUAGCCCUUUUAUAUAUUGCAUACCUUGCGUAAAAGCCAAGUCUCUAUAAAAAAUAGAUAAAUCUCAAAAUUACACAUAAAUUUUGAUUCAGUGUGCAACUUGGUACAUGAGCUUUAUUUUGGUACAAUUAUACAUAAGAAACUUUGACUGUGAUUCAAAUGUAUAUAUAAAACUUUAAUUUUGAUUAAAUUAUACGGAUUUAAAGAAAUAAAUACAUCAAAUUUCAUCCUUGUACAUUUUGUGCUGAUCUUUAUAGAAGUUUGUCGAGUACAAUGAAUGAGGAUGCUUAGAAGAGCAUUGACGCUCUUGUGUGGGAGAGAGCAUAAGUACUCUUUGUCAGAGAACUUGUUCUUAACGUGGUGUUAAUAUGCUUUUCCUGCUUCGAGGUGUCCUAGUUUGUAUGCUAUGCUAAUUGGAUGGGUGUUUUUAGGUAUGUUUUAUUCGUCUCUUUCGGUGGUCUGUAUGAGCCAUGCUUUGCUAAAUGGUGUGGGCAAUUACUCUGUCUAAUCCUAUCAUUUAUAAACCUAUAAACCCAUAGUAUUAUUUUUGUUAAAACUGAUGAACCUCAAGCUGUAACAUUGAAAAAUACAUCUUUAUUCUAUUUUGCAUAAUGUUUAUUUACACAAGCUAUGUAUUUAUAGCUUUAUUAAACUAACUAGUUAACUUCUAUCCUAUAUUAACAGAUGAAAAAUGUCUUUCUUUCUCAGCUUGGAGCUAAGAUACUCAUGCUGCUGUAGAAUUAAUGUCAGCAAUAUGUUCUUUUGUUUAAACAUAUUGUGUCUUGUUCAAUCUUUCUCUAUGUAUUUAGUUCUUUCAUGAUAAACAGGAUUGACUGUCAUCUGUAAAACUAUGUAUCUAUAGCUUUAUAAUCUAUUAUAACUAACUAACUAAUUUAGAUUGUUGGAACUGGUUCGUGGGAAGGCACACAUUCCCACGUUUACUGGGGUCACUUCCACAUGCUCAUAUUUUACACUUUUGUAUGUGUGAUAAUGAGAUGUAUAGUUGAUAGGGAACCAUCACUAUAAAUACUAACUACCAUAAGGACCUUAGGCACGAAAAAAUUAAAAAAACAAUCAUUUAGCGAGAUUUUCGAGUGUUUAGAAGACUUUGGCAGUUUUCUAUUUUUCUUACAGCUAAAUGGUUCAAUGUGCUCAACAGUAGUACUAUAACAUUUAGAUUUUGACAUUUGGUUUAAACUUAAAUUUAAUUUAUAUUGUAAAAUGAAUUGUAACUAACAAAGUUUUAUCUUUAUCUUAACAUUAUUUUAAAGUAGCAUAUAAUAAAAAGUUUAGUACUUACAUACCCAUAUGUAACAAAGAGCUGUCCUUAGAUUGGACGUUUGAACUGCUCCCAUAGAGACUCAAAUGGGAUGAAUAUCCCUAGCUCUAAUUAAUUAUCACUUGUAACUUUAUGUUUAUUUUAUUACACAACCUCUAACUACCUUGCAUUUUACUUAAAUAUAGAUUUGGGGAAAAUAUAUUCAAGCUGGUAUCUAAUAUUUGCUUCUAGAUAUCCUUAAAGAAAAAAGCAAUCAUAUUCUAGAAUCUACAUGUAUUUGAUUAUUUUAUUCUAUAUAUGGUGGCGGUGGUAGUAGUAGUUAUUUUUCACAUACAAUCUUAAAGUGGAACUAUUAAUUAUGUUAACUCUUGUUUUAAUUAAGACACAAAAAGAUUCAGUCUUGUUUUAUGGAAAUUAAUAAAAUUAAGAUAAACAUCCAUUCACCCAUGUUUAUUAACCUCUGUUUCUUCGAUUUAAAAUGGAUGAAAAAAAGUUGAUUGGUAUAAGUGUGCUUAAACGCAUUAUCUUCUUAUUUAUGAGUUGAGGAAGAGUUAUAAAUAAUUCUUGAUAUUAUGUGUUGACACUAUUUUUUUUGAUAAAAACGGGGUCGACUUGAAUUUUGAAAACGAAAACGAAAACGGGAGUCGCCACCAAUCUUUUUUCGAUGAGGUGUGAUCGGGUCACCUCGAAGAGUGAUUGUUUUUAAUAAACGAUUUAAUUUUUAUUAAAACAACGAUUUUGGUCUACGAAAUUCAAAAAGAUGGGUUCGGGAGUCGGUUACGCACGAGGAAGGAUUAGCACCCUCGAUACACCCAAAAUUGGUACCUAAUUGAUUACUUAGUGUCCUAGUGUCGAAAAUCAAAAAUUUGAAGAGUUUUAAAGAUACGGUCCUUAAAAGAAACUCUGAUAACGUGAUUUGAAAUAUAAGAUUCUCUUGUUCCGAAGGAAUAUCACAUCCAGCACGUUAGGACACGAUACUCUAAACCAUCGAAACCAAGAUCACCUUAUAGUUUAAUGAAACCAUACUUUGAAGUUUUAAGAGGAUAUUUGGCUAUUUAGUCGAACGAGAAAUCAAAACCCAACGCGUUAGGGCACGUUUCCUCGAUUUUCCAAACGCGAAGUAUUGCCUUAUUUUAAAAGUUUAAAAAGAAUAUUUGGCUAUUUGGUCAAACGAGAAGUCGAAACCCAACACGUUAGGGCACGUUUCCUCGAUUUUCCAAACGCGAAAUAUUGCCUUAUUUAGAAAAAACUUUCCUUUUGAUGUUUGGUGUUAAUGCAUGACAAAACAAUAACGAAUACGACAAGGUAAGCAAAGUAAUGUGAGUAACAACAAUACAAUAGGCAAAAUGAAAUGACGAGGCGAUUACAUAAACAACGCAAACGAAUAAAUAAAUAGAACUAACAUUUUAGAAAAGUAAAAGUGUACAUGAAUAAAUAAAUAAAUAAACACCAAAUAACAAUGAUAAUAAAUGAAAUAAAUACAAUUAUGUAAAAAAUAUGUAUGCAUGUAUAAUUUUAAGUUAUGAAAAUAAGAAAUGCAUAUAAAUUAUAGAGUAUAAAAAUGUAUAUAAAUAUAUAUAUAUAUAUUAAAUAAAAAAAAUCUGUAAGUAUUAUAAAAUAAAAAUGUAAGUAUGUUCAUAUGUACAUUUAAAAAUGUAUAUAGGUAUACUUAUUUUUUUUAGAUUAUAAAGUAUACACAAAAGAGGAAUAUAUGUUUAUACAUAUGUAGGAGUUAUAAAAUAUAAAACACGUGUAUGUAUAAAUCUAUAACAUAAAAUAUGUGCGUAUGUAUAUUAUAAAAAAAAUGUGUAUAUACAUGUAUAUAUGAAAAUAAAAAAGACCAUAUAGAUUGUAGCAUAUAUAAAAAAUAUAAGUAUGUAUAUAUAUUGAUUGUAAAAAUAUGUACGUAUUAAGAAGCAUGCAUGUACAUGUAUAUGACAAAAUCUGAAAUUUUUUUUAAAAAAAUACAUAUAUAACAUUAAGUAAAAUAUUAAAUAAAACUGGUUUUUAAAUAUGUAUAUUUAUAUAAAAUAAAAAUAAAAAAAAACUUGAAGUUAAAAAGGCCGAGGAUCGAAUUGGAAUCAGGCCAAUAAUUUGGGACCAAAUUCGCAAACAAAAGGGGCAGGGGCUGAAAUGAAGCGCGCUCAAGUCUCGAAGGACCCUCAGGGAAAUAUUCCCCAGUCCAAGACGCAGCGUUUCAGCGCAAAGGCCUGUACACGGUCAAAGGACCUGAUUGAAACAAAAAACAAAAUUCACAGCCCAAAUCUAAAAGAAAUAGAAAGUUGGAUUGCGCUUCAGCGCAAAACGGAGGGACUAAAUGCAUAAAUUACCCAUUCAGGGCAAAGCAUGCCCAAAUCUCCCCCCUUUAAACGGCGCCGUAUCACAAUCAAAAUAAAAACUAAAAAAAUUGCUUUAUUUUUCUGCUGCUUCAUUCUUUACAGAACGCAAGAAAAAAAGAAAAAAUAAAGGGAAGCCCCCCUCCUCUGCUAGGGUUCCAAGAUUGAAACACCGCCGCCGCUAUGCCUCCGUUGUCCGGUGAUCGGAGCUGUGCGAAGAGGGCUUCUAUCGGCGCCUUGAAACGCGCUCAUGGGACGAGGCCAUGGAACGAAGAGACGAGGGGAAAGAGAAGAACUUCGGCCCCUCCUUGAACCCACAUCCGGCGACGGUGAAUCACCAUCGACGGUGGGCCUAGGGGCCGAUUCAGGUAACCUUCUUUUUUUUCUUUUUUUGUUUUUUAAUUACUUUUAAAUAGAUUUGAAAUAAAAGAAAAGAAAAAAAAACAAAAACUAUGAAAAAGAGAACGAAGAGAACAGUUUUUUUUAAAAGAAGAACAACCUUUUGGAACUUCAGUUUCUGAUUUUUGAUUUAUCGAUGGGUGUUCGUAAAAAAGUACAAAGAGAUAUUGUGGCUUUUUUAUAGCCAAAUUACAAAAACCGUUCUGUUUCCAGUCCUUGUCUUUUGCCAUUUAUUACUGUUGUUGCCUUGUUUGGUGGUCUCUUGCAGGUGUCAGGCACGCGUGGAUGAGGCGUGCGGCGGCAACGAACAGAGGCAGUGGCAAUGGCAGGCCUAAGGGCGGCCCUAGGUGCAGCGCACCUAGGGUUCUCUUUUCUUUUUCUGCUAUCUUUUUGCUGUUGGUUUUGGGUUUAGUUGGGCUAGGUUUUUAAUUUUUGUUUUGGGCCAUUAUUUUUAUUUUUACUGGGCCAGCGAAUUUGGGCUUCUACAUUAUGUAAAAAGAGAUCACAGAUAUAAUCAUAAUUUAUAAUAAAAUUAUUUAAAAAAAUAAAUGAAGAAAUUAUUAUUUGUUGGAUUUAGAAAAA